AGUACAUCCAUCUUUUAUUAUAGGCACCAGAGAGCGUGAUAAACAAUCUUGUCAACGAGGUCAGGCGUAAUGUGGAUUUCCCAGUCUCCACACCUCAUAGCAGGCCAAUAAUGCACGAUGUGCAAAAACGCCUCUUUGGAAAACACUUAUCAUCUUUGCGAUACCACAACUCAAAAUCCGUUCGUCCUACAUUCAAUCACAUUCUACCUAGAAAAAAAAGUGUAUUUUCAAAAGUAGCAACAUUUGCUCUGCCCAAAACAGAAGAAUCUGUAAUCAAACAAGAUGUUGCACCACGAAAAGACUUCUCCAAUGUCAAAAAUCUCGCACAAGACUAUUUAAGUUUCAAGAAAGUUUUAAAAGGAAACUCUAAGAGGAGUUCAAGUUACCAUCCAUUUGAACAUUACGGAGAAACUUCUAUCCUUAAAACAACUACGGAAAGAUUCCUUCAUUCAGCCGAAGAAAAAGUAAUUAACUUCAACUACUACUUAAGAAACUAUUCGCAACCUAAUAGAAAAUCAGACAAGAUGUUUUCCGAUAUUGAGAGCAACUUUCCUAGAGAAACACCCAAUGAUAAACUUAU